CCAGUCUACUUCCUUAGUCUCUCCUUCUCCGAUCCCACUAACCUAUUGAAAAACACAGAAGAAAACCGUUGAAAAUGUUGAGGUUUAAGAGAUUUAGCUCAGCUGUAAUUCUCCAUUCAAAAAGCUUUUUUUCCAGAGAAGAGAAAUUAGUUUCUCCAAUCCAUUUAAGCAAUCCUUGCCGAUUGACCUCCAAUCGCUUCCUCGAUAUUUACCAGCUGGGAAACAAGGAGGCAAUUGAGAAAGAGCGUGCUCGGCUUAAAGAUGAGAUGAACCGGGGUUACUUUGCUGAUAUAAACGAGUUGAAGCAACAUGGUGGUAAGAUUGCAACUGCAAAUAAGAUAAUAAUUCCAGCAAUGGCGGCUGUGAAGUUUCCUGCGUUGGAGGUGAGUAACUCAGAUGGUUCAAGCCUUAAGCUUCCCAUCACAUCCGCUGGAAAUGGCGUUGAGGCAAACAAAGCUGAAGCACCAAAGGCAUCAUUGUUGUGUCUUUCAUUUCGUGCAAGCUCACAGGCGAUGGUAGAUUCUUGGAGUAAACCAUUUCUGGAUACAUUUAAAGAUUCCAAUAGAGUUCAGCUUUAUGAGAUCUCCUUUAUAGAUUCAUGGUUGUUGACACUCAGUCCUGUAAAGAAACUACUACUUCGAACUAUGAGGAAAUCUAACCCUGACGAAAGCAAGGAUGCACUGCAUAGACAAAUUGUUUAUUCAUUUGGAGACCAUUACUACUUUCGGAAAGAACUUAAAAUAUUGAACCUUCUGACUGGGUACACGUUUUUGCUUGACAAAUUUGGUAGAAUACGAUGGCAAGGUUCUGGAUUGGCAACAGAAGAAGAGUUGUCAUCGCUUCUAUCCUGUACUUCUCUACUGCUGGAUGAGGAAUAAAAGUAACAAAAAUUUUGCUAUACAUGUCCAAUUUCAAAUAUCAAAAGGCAUAUGGAGGGAUCUCCUUGUUUAGUAGAUUCAAGCUCCUAAAAUCUACAUAAAUGCUUCAUUUUUGUACUUCUGUGCCUACUCUGGUUUUGUAGGUGCUGCAAUUUUCCUAAAAAUGAGUAUGACUUUUUGGUGUUCCUGGACAUUCUGCCUUGAACUGAAUUGCACAAAACAUAUAUGUGUUAUCACACCACUAGUUCCAGUUUGCCAAUGAUAUUGGACCACAUAGUAAAGCCAGAUGAUCAACUUUCAUCAUAAAGCAGGUGCUAAGAGACAGUGGUGUUUGGGCCAGUUUGCGAGCAUAUCGAUUAUUCAAGUGAGUAUUUGCUACCUCCAUUAGCGUAGACAUCAGGUAAAUCUCACACCAAUGCUUAGGCAGAUAAAGAAGAAAUCACUGGUAUUUUUGUGUUUGUCGAGAUUUGAAUCCGAAUUUUCAAGGUUUGCAACUUGAUUCAUUGAUUUUUAGGUUAUACCCUUGGCGCAAAGCGUUUUGCAAAGGAUUUUUCUGCCAAACCAGCUAUUGAUCAUCGUGUGUUCCUUUUAUUCGGAUCUUUCAAUUCGCAGCAGCCACGAAUUUUCCUUUUUCCUCUUUCCUUUUUUUGUUCCUUUCCCUUUCCCCUUCUUCCAAAUAAAUUACGUUUCAUAUAUAAGAUCACGACUUUACUGCGAAUUUAUUUAGGCCAAUGCUCAUGUUUUUAUUAUAGAGCUAAACCUUGACCUUAAUAAUAUAAGACAUCGGUUUCUUGUCUGGGAAGUUUCUGUGUUAACAGUUCACUGUCCUCUGAAGUGGUGUAGUGAGCUACCUGUGACAGAAUUAGGAGGGGCAAAUGGGCUGCUUGGGCUGAAGUUGGGCGGGUCAAGAUUGGCUGAGUAAAUAAAUGGGCUAAUGCCCAACACUGCCCAAAGUUCCUUCUUCGAAGAAUUAAUGCAAAUAGCUGUCUACCCAACCACUUAAACUAAAAAUAGCCGGUUGAGCUUGGCUUGGGAGUCUUGCAAUGGUUCAACCUUCAACUGAUCUUGGAAGUUUCAAUUUCUUGCUUGUGAAUGCUUGCUUAAAUUGGGCUGUGAAUAUCCUUAAGGUCAGUGGAUAUACUUGGCUUGUUUUUGGUGCUUGUCUUUUCCUAUUCUUUCUACGUUGGAAGUUGGAUUCUGUGUCGUUGAGAUAUAGCCAUAUUUUUGCUCCAAUACCUACCACAUCACCCACCAUUUCAACUAUGCUAACCAACAUUUCAGUAUCUGCAAGCUCCAACACUCCCUCUUCCAGUAGUGCUGACCCUACACCCUCUACUAUUGCGUCCUCGUUACAGUUUUACUCUUAGCGAUCUACGACUUCCUCUCCAGCCACCGACGUUACCAGCUCAUCCACCAGCUAGAGUUCAUUCUUUUUGAGCUUUCCAGAGUCAGUAGUGGUGGUCCGUGGUGAUGGUUGUGACGUUUUGGUUGUGUUGGUCGUAGUUGGUGGAAGAGAACGGUGGCAGUAGUUGUGUAGUGAUUGUUGUGCAGUGAUAACGAGAUGUGGCAGCUGUGUAGUGGCUGGCUGACAAGGAUAGUCGGGCAGUGGACCGAGGCGGAUCCAGGAUGUAAAAUUAAUGGGUUCAACCCUUUUAAAUUUCUUAGCAUUAAACUCAUUGUUAUUUUAAAUGUUAUGCAUUCAGAACAUAAUAAAUUUUUGAGGUUUCUGACUA